rnacentral:rRNA from 1 species
AGAGUUUGAUCCUGGCUCAGAACGAACGCUGGCGGCAGGCUUAACACAUGCAAGUUGAACGGGAUUUGUAUGGUGCUUGCACCAUGUAAUGAGAGUAGCGCACUGGUGAGUAACACGUGGGAACAUACCUUGAAGUGGGGGACAACAGUUGGAAACGACUGCUAAUACCGCAUAAUCCCUGAGGGGGAAAGAUUUAUCGCUUUAAGAUUGGCCCGCGGAAGAUUAGGUAGUUGGUGGGGUAAAGGCCUACCAAGCCGACGAUCUAUAGCUGGUCUGAGAGGACGAACAGCCACAUUGGAACUGAGACACGGUCCAGACUCCUACGGGAGGCAGCAGUGAGGAAUAUUGGGCAAUGGAGGAAACUCUGACCCAGCCAUGCCGCGUGAGUGAAGAAGGUUUUCGAAUUGUAAAGCUCUUUCGGAUGGGACGAUGAUGACGGUACCAUCUAAAGAAGCCCCGGCAAACUUCGUGCCAGCAGCCGCGGUAAUACGAAGGGGGCAAGCGUUGUUCGGAAUUACUGGGCGUAAAGGGUGUGUAGGCGGAUUUGUAAGAUAGUGGUGAAAUACCUGAGCUCAACUUAGGAAUUGCCAUUAUAACUAUAGAUCUGGAGUGACAGAGAGGAUAUUGGAAUACCCAGUGUAGAGGUGAAAUUCGUAGAUAUUGGGUAGAACACCAGUGGCGAAGGCGAGUAUCUGGCUGUCAACUGACGCUGAGGCACGAAAGCAUGGGGAUCAAACAGGAUUAGAUACCCUGGUAGUCCAUGCUGUAAACGAUGAAUGCUAGUUGUCGGCGUAAGCCGGUGACGCAGUUAACGCGAUAAGCAUUCCGCCUGGGGAGUACGGUCGCAAGAUUAAAACUCAAAGGAAUUGACGGGGACCCGCACAAGCGGUGGAGCAUGUGGUUUAAUUCGAUGCAACGCGAAGAACCUUACCAACUCUUGACAUCCUCAUCGGGGCUUUCAGAGAUGAGAGCUUUCAGUUAGGCUGGAUGAGUGACAGAUGCUGCAUGGCUGUCGUCAGCUCGUGUCGUGAGAUGUUGGGUUAAGUCCCGCAAC